CUCUACAGAGUUGUUAACAUCUAUCUUAGAGCCAAAGAGUAAAUCAAAGUGUCGAAGCUGUAGAGGGACAAAGGCGGAGGAUGAGGAGCUCUCAAAGGAGGCGACGGAGGAGCAAGCCGACUCGUUUCGAAGGAUGAGUGGUGUAAUGGAGAGAGGGGUGGCAGUGUUGACGCUCACCGAUGCUCCGAAGAUGGAUUAGAAUAUGGUUAUGCCUAUGGCAGUGCUCUCAUCAGAGUGAUGGACACAGAGAGGAGGAAGAGGUGAUAGGGCACGUUUGGGCAGAUAUUGACAAAGGAGUGCCCAAGGUUUAUUAUCGCCGAUGGUAUUAGAAAAAAAGAGAUAAAUUGUUUUACUUUUAUAACUAUUAGGAUUUUAAGUAUAAAUUUUUGAAGUAAAAGAAUUGUGAUGCUACGAGGGUCUAAAUAGGAGUAAUAAUUAAUAGUAAUUAGCCCUUGAUAACCCUUCCGCCUCCGUCACGCUCUCCUCUCCUCCGGCCUUCGUCCCCGACGAGUUCAGUGUCCUCUUCUCCGCUGUCUCCAACUGAAGCGUGGGAAGCUGUUCCACGAACACUCCCUUUUCUUCGAAUGCGCCAGCGAUUUCUUCGUGCGUGAAGCGCUGGUCGACAUGUGAUCCAAGUGCGGCGAUGUCUGAGGCGCUCGGCAGGUAUCUGAUUCUGAACACCCAACUCCAGGUGGCAUAAGGCCAAAGUUACUUGACUUGUUGGAUGAUUAGCUGUAUUGAUGGUAUGGAUUGUAACAGAUGAAGAGUUUGACCUUGGUGCUUGGAAGACUAUGAGCUUUGCAAUGAGCUUCUUUAUUGCGUGGAGGCAACUAAGCCAUGUUCCAUUUGAUGGCAAUGGCAGCAGUGGACCCCUCUUUUGCCAACCAGGUUUUAGUAGGUAACCGAACUCCUUUGCAGCUGCCACGUAUAGUUUAGACUAUAAUUCCAUUGGGACUUGGGAGUAUCUUGCCAGUUGUUUUAUCUUGGCAUUAGAAAGCUUACAUGUUUAUUGUGAUUAUUCUAGUCAAGGAAGAAACAGGAACAAUCGUUCUUCUUCUGAUUCCUUCUUGUGGCUGUUUGUAUUUAUGUUGGUGCACCAUUUUUGCUGAAACCGCAGAUAACUCAAUGUCUGUUCUCA